AAGUCGUAACAAGGUAACCGUAGGUGAACCUGCGGUUGGAUCAUUACUGAAUUAAAGGAAUCGCUAGGCUGAAAGGCCUACCGACUCUUGACAUUUUGUGAAUUGUUGAUGUCUCUGGUGGGGGUUUUACCUAAAUUUUAGGUUACCCACCAUUUAAACUUUUAAAUAUUAUUAUUAGUCUUACUUUUUUUUAAAUUUUAAUUAAAAAACAACUUUUGGCAACGGAUCUCUAGGCUCUC
rnacentral:misc_RNA from 1 species